rnacentral:lncRNA from 1 species
CUCCCAAGGAGCAUGGAGGUGGGAAGACUAGGGGACUUUGGCAUGCUUGAAGGGGAACAGAAUUUUCAAAAUCUUGGAGGACCGCUUCUUAGAAUGUUUCUCUGAGGAACAUUCCACUUUGGCAAGACAACUGAGCCUGGCUGACAAGUUAUAAGUCAAUGGUUAAUUCUGUGUGAAAAUCUGGAGUCUUCUGGGCUGUCUACAUCCUAGAGGCACUUCUGAGAAGAAUCGAGCUGCUGGUGCUGGUGAGAGUGGUUAUGGCAAGAGAGAGGCCACUGUCUAUUUGUUGCUCGCCAAGAGCUCCCACAGAGCUUCCUGCACCUUCCACCAUGUGAGGACACAGCAAGAAGUCGGCAGUCUACAUUCUAGGAGGGAACUCUCACUUGAACCCAACCAUGCGGCACCAGAUGUUAAGUUUCCCAGCCUCCAGAACUAUGAAAAAUAAAUGUUGUGUA